rnacentral:rRNA from 1 species
UACGUAGGUGGCAAGCGUUGUCCGGAUUUAUUGGGUUUAAAGGGUGCGUAGGCGGCUUAAUAAGUCAGUGGUGAAAGCCGAUCGCUUAACGAUCGAACUGCCAUUGAUACUGCUAGGCUCGAGUAUAGUUGAGGUAGGCGGAAUUGACAGUGUAGCGGUGAAAUGCAUAGAUAUUGUCAAGAACACCAAUUGCGAAGGCAGCUUACUAAAGUAUAACUGACGCUGAGGCACGAAAGUGCGGGGAUCAAACAGG